rnacentral:miRNA from 1 species
UAGCUCAAGAGAAGGUUGACGAG